CCUACGGGAGGCAGCAGUGGGGAAUAUUGCACAAUGGGGGAAACCCUGAUGCAGCGACGCCGCGUGAGUGAAGAAGUAUUUCGGUACGUAAAGCUCUAUCAGCAGGGAAGAAAAUGACGGUACCUGACUAAGAAGCCCCGGCUAACUACGUGCCAGCAGCCGCGGUAAUACGUAGGGGGCAAGCGUUAUCCGGAUUUACUGGGUGUAAAGGGAGAGUAGACGGCAGCGCAAGUCUGGAGUGAAAUCCCAUGGCUUAACCAUGGAACUGCUUUGGAAACGGUGCAGCUAGAGUGCAGGAGAGGUAAGCGGAAUUCCUAGUGUAGCGGUGAAAUGCGUAGAUAUUAGGAGGAACACCAGUGGCGAAGGCGGCUUACUGGACUGUAACUGACGUUGAGGCUCGAAAGCGUGGGGAGCAAACAGGAUUAGAUACCCUUGUAGUC
rnacentral:rRNA from 1 species